UUGAACGCUGGCGGCAGGCCUAACACAUGCAAGUCGAACGGUAACAGGAAGAAGCUUGCUUCUUUGCUGACGAGUGGCGGACGGGUGAGUAAUGUCUGGGAAACUGCCUGAUGGAGGGGGAUAACUACUGGAAACGGUAGCUAAUACCGCAUAACGUCGCAAGACCAAAGAGGGGGACCUUAGGGCCUCUUGCCAUCGGAUGUGCCCAGAUGGGAUUAGCUAGUAGGUGGGGUAAAGGCUCACCUAGGCGACGAUCCCUAGCUGGUCUGAGAGGAUGACCAGCCACACUGGAACUGAGACACGGUCCAGACUCCUACGGGAGGCAGCAGUGGGGAAUAUUGCACAAUGGGCGCAAGCCUGAUGCAGCCAUGCCGCGUGUAUGAAGAAGGCCUUCGGGUUGUAAAGUACUUUCAGCGGGGAGGAAGGUGUUGUGGUUAAUAACCACAGCAAUUGACGUUACCCGCAGAAGAAGCACCGGCUAACUCCGUGCCAGCAGCCGCGGUAAUACGGAGGGUGCAAGCGUUAAUCGGAAUUACUGGGCGUAAAGCGCACGCAGGCGGUCUGUCAAGUCGGAUGUGAAAUCCCCGGGCUCAACCUGGGAACUGCAUUCGAAACUGGCAGGCUUGAGUCUCGUAGAGGGGGGUAGAAUUCCAGGUGUAGCGGUGAAAUGCGUAGAGAUCUGGAGGAAUACCGGUGGCGAAGGCGGCCCCUGGACGAAGACUGACGCUCAGGUGCGAAAGCGUGGGGGAGCAAACAGGAUUAGAUACCCUGGUAGUCCACGCCGUAAACGAUGUCUAUUUGGAGGUUGUGCCCUUGAGGUGUGGCUUCCGGAGCUAACGCGUUAAAUAGACCGCCUGGGGAGUACGGCCGCAAGGUUAAAACUCAAAUGAAUUGACGGGGGCCCGCACAAGCGGUGGAGCAUGUGGUUUAAUUCGAUGCAACGCGAAGAACCUUACCUGGUCUUGACAUCCACAGAACUUUCCAGAGAUGGAGGGGUGCCUUCGGGAACUGUGAGACAGGUGCUGCAUGGCUGUCGUCAGCUCGUGUUGUGAAAUGUUGGGUUAAGUCCCGCAACGAGCGCAACCCUUAUCCUUUGUUGCCAGCGGUUAGGCCGGGAACUCAAAGGAGACUGCCAGUGAUAAACUGGAGGAAGGUGGGGAUGACGUCAAGUCAUCAUGGCCCUUACGACCAGGGCUACACACGUGCUACAAUGGCGCAUACAAAGAGAAGCGAACUCGCGAGAGCAAGCGGACCUCAUAAAGUGCGUCGUAGUCCGGACUGGAGUCUGCAACUCGACUCCAUGAAGUCGGAAUCGCUAGUAAUCGUGGAUCAGAAUGCCACGGUGAAUACGUUCCCGGGCCUUGUACUCACCGCCC
rnacentral:rRNA from 1 species